GAUCAUGGCUCAGGAUGAACGCUAGCGACAGGCUUAACACAUGCAAGUCGAGGGGCAGCGGGGACGUAGCAAUACUUCGCCGGCGACCGGCGCACGGGUGAGUAACACGUGUGCAACCAGCCCCGUACCGGGAGAUAACCCGCGGAAACGUGGACUAACAUCCCAUGAUACUCGAGAGCCGCAUGGCUCUCGAUUUAAAAUUCCGGUGGUACGGGACGGGCACGCGCGACAUUAGGUAGUUGGCGGGGUAACGG
rnacentral:rRNA from 1 species